UACGUAGGGUGCGAGCGUUGUCCGGAAUUACUGGGCGUAAAGGGCUCGUAGGCGGUUUGUCGCGUCGGGAGUGAAAACCAGGUGCUUAACACCUGGCUUGCUUUCGAUACGGGCAGACUAGAGGUAUUCAGGGGAGAACGGAAUUCCUGGUGUAGCGGUGAAAUGCGCAGAUAUCAGGAGGAACACCGGUGGCGAAGGCGGUUCUCUGGGCCUUACCUGACGCUGAGGAGCGAAAGCGUGGGGAGCGAACAGG
rnacentral:rRNA from 1 species